UUGACCUCGAAUCAGGUAGGAAUACCCGCUGAACUUAAGCAUAUCAAUAAGCGGAGGAAAAGAAACCAACAGGGAUUGCCCCAGUAACGGCGAGUGAAGCGGCAACAGCUCAAAUUUGAAAUCUGGCUCUCGGGCCCGAGUUGUAAUUUGUAGAGGAUGCUUUUGGUGAGGUGCCUUCCGAGUUCCCUGGAACGGGACGCCAUAGAGGGUGAGAGCCCCGUCUGGUUGGACACCGAUCCUCUGUAAAGCUCCUUCGACGAGUCGAGUAGUUUGGGAAUGCUGCUCUAAAUGGGAGGUAUAUGUCUUCUAAAGCUAAAUACCGGCCAGAGACCGAUAGCGCACAAGUAGAGUGAUCGAAAGAUGAAAAGAACUUUGAAAAGAGAGUUAAAAAGUACGUGAAAUUGUUGAAAGGGAAGCGCUUGUGACCAGACUUGGGCUUGGUUGAUCAUCCGGGGUUCUCCCCGGUGCACUCUUCCGGCUCAGGCCAGCAUCAGUUCGCCCUGGGGGAUAAAGGCUUCGGGAAUGUGGCUCUCUCCGGGGAGU
rnacentral:rRNA from 1 species